GGGAGGUCCCCAGGAACAUUAGGUAUCUAUGAGGGAGGUCCCCAGGAACAUUAGGUAUCUAUGAGGGAGGUCCCCAGGAACAUUAGGUAUCUAGGAGGACCCCAGGAACAUUAGGUAUCUAUGAGGGAGGUCCCCAGGAACAUUAGGUAUCUAGGAGAACCCCAGGAACAUUAGGUGUCUAUGAGGGAGGUCCCCAGGAACAUUAGGUGUCUAGGAGGACCCCAGGAACAUUAGGUGUCUAUGAGGGAGGUCCCCAGGAACAUUAGGUAUCUAUGAGGGAGGUCCCCAGGAACAUUAGGUAUCUAGGAGGGAGGACCCCAGGAACAUUAGGUGUCUAGAAGGGAGGACCCCAGGAACAUUAGGUAUCUAUGAGGGAGGACCCCAGGAACAUUAGGUAUCUAUGAGGGAGGACCCCAGGAACAUUAGGUAUCUAUGAGGGAGGACCCCAGGAACAUUAGGUAUCUAUGAGGGAGGACCCCAGGAACAUUAGGUAUCUAUGAGGGAGGACCCCAGGAACAUUAGGUAUCUAGGAGGUCCCCAGGAACAUUAGGUGUCUAGAUGUGAGGACCCCAGGAACAUUAGGUAUCUAUGAGGGAGGACCCCAGGAACAUUAGGUAUCUAUGAGGGAGGACCCCAGGAACAUUAGGUAUCUAUGAGGGAGGACCCCAGGAACAUUAGGUAUCUAUGAGGGAGGACCCCAGGAACAUUAGGUAUCUAGGAGGUCCCCAGGAACAUUAGGUAUCUAGGA